rnacentral:lncRNA from 1 species
UUCAGGGCCUGCGCCCAGCCAGGCCUCGCAGGAGGAGGGGCGGCCCCCGCGCCGUUGUCCCCAGCCGCUUCCGCGGGAGCCGUCCUGUGCGUCGGGACGGAGAUCUCCGGCGCGGACCCGCCCGCCGGGCUUUCCCCGGUGCCCCGCGUGUGUCCUGGGAGGCCAUGCACGCGGUUCUUCCAGGCAUCGCACUCGGGACGGCGGUGACUUCGGGCCCUGCAUAGUCUGAGUAGGCAGAAUAAAAUCAGAAACUGGCUCUUCCCGUGCUGCCUGGUUUUUGCCUAGCCCCAGUAUCUGCCUCCUGUCCUCUGGAAUGAAACCAAAGCUUCCAGGGCCUGUGCUACGGUGAAAGCGAAGAACCGAGGCGCGGCUGGAGCUCUCUCCCUCUGUGAGGCCAGGCCUGCCCCUGUGUAACUUUCUGCCGGCGGAAGGCGCACAGCCAGUCCGCUGGUCUUCACCAAACCCUCUGCAGCUUCAGCCCCGCAGACAGCAGAGCAUCCACAGCAGAAUAAAAUCAGAGGCCUCGGAGGCCACAGUCUGCUUCAGAGGCUCUUUCAGGAGCCUGAAAGUAACAGCAGAGGGUGAGCCACGGGACCCACUGCGUGACACCUCCACGGCCCCACCUCCUCACAGCACCUUCAGCUGGGAGCGCAUCGGCGCAUGAACCCAGGG